AAAACGAUUCAGAAGCUUACGAUUGACGGAGCGAAGCGACGUCAAAGCGUAUACAAAGUCGAGUCGGUUUAAGGAUACGUUCGUUGGGUAGGGGAGCGUUCUGUAAGCCGUUGAAGGUGUCCUGUGAGGGGUGCUGGAGGUAUCAGAAGUGCGAAUGCUGACAUAAGUAACGAUAAAGCGGGUGAAAAGCCCGCUCGCCGGAAGACCAAGGGUUCCUGUCCAACGUUAAUCGGGGCAGGGUGAGUCGACCCCUAAGGCGAGGCCGAAAGGCGUAGUCGAUGGGAAACGGGUUAAUAUUCCCGUACUUGGUGUUACUGCGAAGGGGGGACGGAGAAGGCUAUGUUGGCCGGGCGACGGUAGUCCCGGUUUAAGCGUGUAGGUGUGUGUUCCAGGCAAAUCCGGUUCACUUUAACACUGAGGCGUGACGACGAGGCACCACGGUGCUGAAGCAACAAAUGCCCUGCUUCCAGGAAAAGCCUCUAAGCAUCAGGUAACAUCAAAUCGUACCCCAAACCGACACAGGUGGUCAGGUAGAGAAUACCAAGGCGCUUGAGAGAACUCGGGUGAAGGAACUAGGCAAAAUGGUGCCGUAACUUCGGGAGAAGGCACGCUGACACGUAGGUGAAGUGAUUUACUCAUGGAGCUGAAGUCAGUCGAAGAUACCAGCUGGCUGCAACUGUUUAUUAAAAACACAGCACUGUGCAAACACGAAAGUGGACGUAUACGGUGUGACGCCUGCCCGGUGCCGGAAGGUUAAUUGAUGGGGUCAGCGCAAGCGAAGCUCCUGAUCGAAGCCCCGGUAAACGGCGGCCGUAACUAUAACGGUCCUAAGGUAGCGAAAUUCCUUGUCGGGUAAGUUCCGACCUGCACGAAUGGCGUAAUGAUGGCCAGGCUGUCUCCACCCGAGACUCAGUGAAAUUGAACUCGCUGUGAAGAUGCAGUGUACCCGCGGCAAGACGGAAAGACCCCGUGAACCUUUACUAUAGCUUGACACUGAACAUUGAGCCUUGAUGUGUAGGAUAGGUGGGAGGCUUUGAAGCGUGGACGCCAGUCUGCGUGGAGCCGACCUUGAAAUACCACCCUUUAAUGUUUGAUGUUCUAACGUGGACCCGUAAUCCGGGUUGCGGACAGUGUCUGGUGGGUAGUUUGACUGGGGCGGUCUCCUCCUAAAGAGUAACGGAGGAGCACGAAGGUUGGCUAAUCCUGGUCGGACAUCAGGAGGUUAGUGCAAUGGCAUAAGCCAGCUUGACUGCGAGCGUGACGGCGCGAGCAG
rnacentral:rRNA from 1 species